rfam:Angiostrongylus costaricensis strain Costa Rica genome assembly, scaffold: ACOC_contig0003526
UGCCGCGUGGAGCAAUGGAUAACGCGUCUGCCUACGGAGCAGAAGAUUGCAGGUUCGAGUCCUGCCGUGGUCG